rnacentral:tRNA from 2 species
GGCCUCGUGGCGCAAAGGUAGCGCGUUUGACUCCAGAUCAAAAGGUUAUCCGUUCAAAUCGGGUCGGGGUCA